AGACUCUAAUUGAUGAAUGGUA
rnacentral:siRNA from 1 species